UUUGACGUUUACCUACAGAAGAAGCACCGGCUAACUCCGUGCCAGCAGCCGCGGUAAUACGGAGGGUGCGAGCGUUUAAUCGGGAAUUACUGGGCGUUAAAAGCGUCAUGCAGGCGGCCUGUUAAGUCUAGAUGUGAAAGCCCGGGGCUUAACCUCGGAAUUGCAUUUGAAACUGGCAGGCUAGAGUCUUGUAGAGGGGGUAGAAUUUCAGGUGUAGCGGUGAAAUGCGUAGAGAUCUGAAGGAAUACCAGUGGCGAAGGCGGCCCCCUGGACAAAGACUGACGCUCAGAUGCGAAAAGCGUGGGGAGCAAACAGGAUUAGAUACCCUGGUAG
rnacentral:rRNA from 1 species